CAAUAGUGUAUACUAAAGUUGUUGCGGUUGAAAAGCUCGUAGUUGGAUCUAGGGUGCUGGCCGGUGGUCCGCCGCAAGGCGAGCACUGUCGGCGCCUGCUUAUCCUCUGGUUCUCUGUCGGUGCUCUUAACUGAGUGUCGGCGGUGGCCAGUAAAUUUACUUUGAAAAAUUAGAGUGUUCAAAGCAGGCUGUUUGCCUGGAUAUCGGUGCAUGGAAUAAUGGAAUAGGACCUCUGUUCUAUUUUGUUGGUUUUCGGAAUGGAGGUAAUGAUUAAGAGGGACAGACGGGGGCAUCCGUACUCUGCCGUUAGAGGUGAAAUUCUUGGAUCGGCGGAAGACGAACUAUUGCGAAAGCAUUUGCCAAGAAUGUUUUCUUUAAUCAAGAGCGAAAGUCAGAGGUUCGAAGAUGAUUAGAU
rnacentral:rRNA from 1 species